rnacentral:rRNA from 1 species
GACGGAGGGUGCAAGCGUUGCUCGGAAUCACUGGGCGUAAAGGGCGCGUAGGCGGCCUUGCAAGUCGGACGUGAAAUCCCACGGCUCAACCGUGGAAGUGCAUUCGAAACUGCGAGGCUGGAGUCCUGGAGAGGAAAGUGGAAUACUCGGUGUAGAGGUGAAAUGCGUAGAUAUCUGGAGGAACACCGGUGGCGAAGGCGGCAUCCUGGACCGGCAUUGACGCUGAGGCGCGAAAGCCAGGGGAGCAAACGGG